rnacentral:lncRNA from 1 species
CGUCACUUGGUUUGUGGCUGCUAAUUAAGUGGGUUGGUUUGGUACUUGGUACUGGUACCAUGAAAUGGCGAAUGAGUUCCAUACACCUUAUUUUAUAACAUCAAUCCAGUUUUUUUAAGUAAAAAGUUACCAGCAAGGGUUGUCUGGAGUUAGGGAGACAUGUGUGUGACAACUCCUGUUGGAGCCUAAUAGGAAUCAUUCGCCAUUUGGAAGAAACCCUAACAUGAAACCGUAGCCCUUUGACCACCUAGGGAAACCACUGCAGCCACGGCCAAGUCACCAUUGGGAGUAUGUCUAUUUGGGAGCAAGCUAUGGGAGCGUUCCAGCUCAAUUUUCGUCUUGGCACCUGGACCUACAGGAGUCAUGGGGUCGCACCAUCCUGGUGCAUCAUUUUCUAGGAUGCAACCGCAACCUCGUUUGGGAACAUUUAGUGAGGUGUUUUAGUAACUAUUGGUUUUUUUAUAUUUCAGACUAUCUGUUAAAUACACUAUGUUUUUUCCAGAUUUAGGUUACCUCUGGUUUUUUUUUGACAUAUUUGUAUAUUAGAUUAUUUGGUUCCCAAACUUUGUAUCUACGGUAACUUCUUGUGCACAGGAAUAAGCCUAGAGAAAAUUAGGUUUUUAAUACUUUAUUAUUGCUUUGAUAUUGGUUUAUGUAAUUCGGGUAAAUUUAUUUUUUAAUAUUACUAGCUUGUUUCCCAAAUAUUUUACUGUUAUUCGCUUUAUUCCAUUUGCUCGGUUAAUUUAGGUCAUCGUCGGUAUUUAUCUCAACUUCAUUUCUACUUUAGUCAAUUGUAUAUUUAACUUUAUUUAUUCAUUAUUGUAUUUUCCCUUAGUGAGGCUUGGGCCUAUUUAUUUGUAGUAUUUUCAUCUUUGUCAGUUUCCUUUAGUUGUACGUAGCAGGCGUACUAUAACCAUUUGGUAGAAGACUUAUGUAAUUUUGUACCCUAUAUGUUAGUGAAAGGUACUUAUACCUGUAAUUUUGUAACAGGUAACAUUGUUGUUAUCUUAGGUUGAACAUAACUUUUGCAAACUUUUGUCAUGUUAGAGUCACAUAAUAUGAACUUGUUUAACUCAGAGAUUGUUAAAAAUCUGGUAGUUCAUUUUAAUAAAUGUUUAUUUAUUUUGUA